GAGCGCAGCUUUCUAUUAGUGACUGGU
rnacentral:piRNA from 1 species